GACGAACGCUGGCGGCGUGCUUAACACAUGCAAGUCGAACGGAAAGGCCCUGCUUUUGUGGGGUGCUCGAGUGGCGAACGGGUGAGUAACACGUGAGUAACCUGCCCUUGACUUUGGGAUAACUUGAGGAAACUGGGGCUAAUACCGGAUAGGAGCUCCUGCUGCAUGGUGGGGGUUAGAAAGUUUCGGCGGUUGGGGAUGGACUCGCGGCUUAUCAGCUUGUUGGUGGGGUAGUGGCUUACCAAGGCUUUGACGGGUAGCCGGCCUGAGAGGGUGACCGGCCACAUUGGGACUGAGAUACGGCCCAGACUCCUACGGGAGGCAGCAGUGGGGAAUAUUGCACAAUGGGCGGAAGCCUGAUGCAGCAACGCCGCGUGCGGGAUGACGGCCUUCGGGUUGUAAACCGCUUUCGCCUGUGACGAAGCGUGAGUGACGGUAAUGGGUAAAGAAGCACCGGCUAACUACGUG
rnacentral:rRNA from 1 species